rnacentral:rRNA from 1 species
UACGUAGGGGGCAAGCGUUAUCCGGAAUUACUGGGUGUAAAGGGAGCGUAGACGGUAAUGUAAGUCUGGAGUGAAAGGCGGGGGCCCAACCCCCGGACUGCUCUGGAAACUAUGUUACUAGAGUGCAGGAGAGGUAAGCGGACUUCCUAGUGUAGCGGUGAAAUGCGUAGAUAUUAGGAGGAACACCAGUGGCGAAGGCGGCUUACUGGACUGUAACUGACGUUGAGGCUCGAAAGCGUGGGGAGCAAACAGG